GAACUGGAGCUACUGGUGCAGGAAGUGAAACCGGAUAUUAUAGGGAUAACAGAAACCUGGUGGAAUAGUACUCAUGACUGGAGUACAGGUAUUGAAGGCUAUGUGCUGUUUAGAAAAGACAGGAAGAAAGACAAAGGUGGUGGAGUAGCCUUGUACAUCAAUGAUGAGAUUAACUGUAAUGAAAUAAGAAGCGAUGGAAUGGAUAAGACAGAGUCUGUCUGGGCAAAAAUCAAACUGGGUAAAAAAGCAAUUAGAGCUUCCCCUGAGAUAGUGCUUGGGGUGUGCUAUAGACUGCCCGGAUCUGAUUUGGAUAUGGAUAGAGACCUCUUUAAUGUCUUUAAUGAAGUAAACACAAAGGGGAAAUGUGUGAUUAUGGGAGACUUCAACUUCCCAGAUAUAGACUGGAGGACGAGUGCUUGCAAGAAUAAUAGGGGUCAGAUUUUUCUGGAUGUGAUAGCGGAUGGAUUUCUUCAUCAAGUAGUUGAAGUACCUACGAGAGGGGAUGCCAUUUUAGAUUUGGUUUUCGUGAGCAGUGAGGACCUCGUAGAAGAAAUGGUGGUAGGGGAUAACCUUGGUUCGAGUGAUCAUGAGCUGAUUCAGUUCAAAUUAGAUGGAAGGAUAAACAAAUGUAGAUCUCGGAUUAGGGUUUUCGAUUUCUCGAGGGCUAAUUUUAAAGAGUUAAGGAAAUUAGUUAUGGAAGUGGAUUGGACGGAGGAACUUGCGGAUUUAAAUGCGGAGGAGGCCUGGAAUUACUUUAAGUCGCAGCUGCAGAAAUUGUCGGAAGCCUGCAUCCCAAGAGAGGGGAAAAAAACCAUGGGCAGGAGUUGUAGGCCAAGCUGGAUGAGCAAGCAACUCAGAGAGGGGAUUAGGAGAAAGCAGAAAGCUUACAGGGAGUGGAAGAAAGGCGGGAUUAGCAAGGGAAGCUACCUUGGUGAGGUCAGAACAUGUAGGGAUAAAGUGAGGAAGGCUAAAAGCCGCAUUGAACUGGACCUUGCAAAGGGAAUCAAAACCAAUAGUAAAAG
rnacentral:lncRNA from 1 species